GGCUAACGCUGGCGGCGUGUCUUAGCCAUGCAAGUCGAGCGGACUUAUGGGGUAACUUAUAAGUCAGCGGCGGACGGCGGAGUAACACGUAGCUAACCUACCCUCUGGACGGGGAUAACCUACCGAAAGGUGGGCUAAUACCCGAUGUAGUCAUCCUGUAUAGGGGUGAUGAAAGGUGGGCUUCUGUUUACAAGCUCAUGCUGGAGGAGGGGGCUGCGGCCUAUCAGGUAGUUGGUAGGGUAAUAGCCUACCAAGCCGAUGACGGGUAGCCGGCCUGAGAGGGUGACCGGGCCCGAGGGGCACUGAGAUACGGGUCCCACUCCUACGGGAGGCAGCAGGCUAGAAAUUUGGGCAAUGGGGGAAACCCUGACCCAGUGACGCCGCGUGCAGGAAGGAGCCCUUCGGGGUGUAAACUGCUGUCGUGUAGGGAGAAGGGUACUAAGGUGAACAAUCUUAGUACUUGACGGUACUACAGGAGGAAGCCCAGGCUAACCUCGUG
rnacentral:rRNA from 1 species